rnacentral:rRNA from 1 species
GAUGAACGCUGGCGGCGUGCCUAAUACAUGCAAGUCGAGCGAACAGACGAGGAUCUUGCUUCUCUUACGUUAGCGGCGGACGGGUGAGUAACACGUGGAUAACCUACCUAUAAGACUGGGAUAACGUCGGGAAACCUGAUCUAAUACCGGUUAAGAUGUUGAACCGCAUGGUUCAUUAGUGAAAGACGGAUUUGCUGUCACUUAUAGAUGGUUCCAGGCCGCAUUAGCUAGUUGGUAAGGUAACGGCUUACCAAGGCAACGAUGCGUAGCCGAUCUGAGAGGGUGAUCGGCCACACUGGAACUGAGACACGGUCCAGACUCCUACGGGAGGCAGCAGUGGGGAAUAUUCGACAAUGGGCGAAAGCUUGACGGAGCCAUGCCGCGUGAGUGAUGAAGGUCUUCGGAUCGUAAAACUCUGUUAUUAGGGAAGAACAAAUGUAUAAGAAAAUAUGCACGUCUUGACGGUACCAAAUCAGAAAGCCACGGCUAACUACGUG